CAGGCUUCUCCUCCUUCCGGCUUGCUGCUUUCCCCUCGGCCUUCAUUCUCCACUCUGGACAUGUUGUUUACUCAUUUUUCUGUGCUUAGGAAGUGGCAGACAGGCAUCGGAGAACACGGAAAAGGCCACAAUCCCAGUGCCGGUGGCUCCUCGAGGAUAACUUAGGAGAAUUAGGAGGAAAGAGGCGUCGAGAACUCUGGGUUCUUGAGAAAGGACAUUCUCCUCUUGGGGCUGUUUAUAAGAGGUAUUGAAACUGGUUUUUAAUGUUUUUUUCUUUUAUUUUUGUUUUACGUGCUGUAGCCCACACAGACUAGUGAUGUGGCGCUAAGGGGAGCGGGAUUCAAAUUGAAUAAAUAAAAAAAUAAAAUUCAUCUGUUUCUUAAUA